UCCUCGCUCAAAGAAUCGCAUUCAAAGCUUACGAACUGGGCAUUUCGAUGCUCGUACCAAUACCUUGCUUUGGGAGAAAGUCCCCGGACGCCCUGGCUUCGUGCCAGGCACUGCGGAAACGCGCUGCCAUAGAAGCACUUCAUAGCAGCUUAUGCCCUCUUACCCACCUAUGCGCCGGCUCCGACCCUCGUUGAACCGUCUGCACUCUUCAGCUUUCUCCCUAUUCACAGUCUCUUCGGCCAGUGCUAGGACAACCCUGGGAUGACGAUAUGAGUCUCACGUUUUGGCAUUGGAGUGAAGUUGCAGCUGAUUCGGGGGUUGCGUCGAGGAGGUUUCUUGGGGAAACAAUGGGAGACGGUCGUGGGAACCUGGUUAAGAAGGUUGCCAUUCGUCGAGAUUCUACAGCUAUGCGAUUGCUUACCUGUUUCUGAAUUCUCAGGAUUGGGUGAGUAACUCGAUGGGGCUUAUUCUUGAGGCGAGG
rfam:Trichophyton benhamiae CBS 112371 contig01094.0, whole genome shotgun sequence.